CUUUUUGAACGCCAAAAGUUAAUUAGAAAUGAUUACUAUGAUUUUUAUUUAAGUGAUCUAUUACGAUAAAAAUGUAAAAAAAAUCGAACUUUACUGAUAAAUGUACUGUAAAUAGUAAUUAUAAAAUUUCCUGAUUGCAUAUUAAUCUUAACAAUUUCAUUUUUUUCUAUUUAAUAAUGUCAAUUUCAAACUUGCAAGUUGAGCUAGAAGUUAUGGAAGGCAGAAUAGUGUAAUCAUAUACAGGUCGCAUCUUUAAUUACUACAACGGGUAGACAGGUUGAAUUCAUAAAAGUAAAUAAAUAGGGGAGAUCGAUAUGCCAAACUAAGUUUUAAUCGAAUAAUUUACAGGAAAAUUAAAUUUAUUAUUAUCCAAACCUUAUAUUAUUAGAUUUGUAGUCUCAGCGAAAAACAAAUUAUGGAUUAUGAUAAAUUAUUAUUUAAGACUUAUGACUUUGAGACUCUAAAUAAAAGUUUAAUGGAAAAAUAUGGUGUGAAAGAAACGUUUACAAAUUAUCUACAUUUUGGUAAUCACUUUAAAAAUUACUUAUAGUUUUGAUGUUUACGCUAUCAUAAGAAUAGGCAUUUAAACGUGUGUAUUUUAAAACUACAAUAACUUUUAAAUCACUGAUCCUCAUGAAAUUAUAGUAGAUUAUACCCAAAAUAUAAACUUUCUUUGGUUAUACUUUUUGCGAAAAUCUGAUAAAAAACCUGAGUACAGGGUGGGUUUGAAAAAGAAUACACACGCAUGUAAAUUUAUAUCUUUGUUGAAAACUUCUUUUUAAACCUAUAUCAAAUUUAAAAUUUUUGAGACUAAUUUACUAUAAAAAACCCAGCACAGGGGGGUCGCGGCACAGUGGUGACGUGGCAUAGUUGGAUCAAGUAUAAUGAUAUCUGACAGUGAUUAAAAUCACUAUCAAAAAUAAACGCUUCGAUGCAAAUCUUUAGAUAGUGUUUAAUUUUAAAAAAAUUGGUGUUUUAUUCCAAAAGCUACUUGAUCUGCUG